GCGGCGGACGGGUGAGUAACACGUGGGCAACCUGCCCUGCAGACUGGGAUAACUUCGGGAAACCGGAGCUAAUACCGGAUAACACCGAAAACCGCAUGGUUUUCGGUUGAAAGGCGGCUUUUAGCUGUCACUGCAGGAUGGGCCCGCGGCGCAUUACCUAGUUGGUGAGGUAACGGCUCACCAAGGCGACGAUGCGUAGCCGACCUGAGAGGGUGACCGGCCACACUGGGACUGAGACACGGCCCAAACUCCUACGGGAGGCAGCAGUAGGGAAUCUUCCGCAAUGGACGAAAGUCUGACGGAGCAACCCCGCCUGAGCGAAAAAGGUCUUCGGAUCGUAAAGCUCUGUUGUCAGGGAAGAACAAAUACCGUUCGAACAGGGCGGUACCUUGACGGUUCCUGACGAGGAAGCCACGGCUAACUACGUGCCAGCAGCCGCGGUAAUAC
rnacentral:rRNA from 1 species